rnacentral:rRNA from 1 species
AGCAGUCGCCACGGUAAUACCGAGGAUGCAAGCGUUAUCCGGAAUGAUUGGGCGUAAAGCGUCUGUAGGUAGCUUUUCAAGUCCGCCAUCAAAUCCCAGGGCUCAACCCUGGACAGGCGGUGGAAAAUACCAAGCUGGAGUACGGUAGGGGCAGAGGGAAUUUCCGGUGGAGCGGUGAAAUGCGUUGAGAUUGGAAAGAACACCAACGGUGAAAGCACUCUGUUGGGCCGACACUGACACUGAGAGGCGAAAGCCAGGGGAGCAAAUGGGAUUAGAUACCCGCGUAGUCCCUGUCUCUUAUAC